rnacentral:rRNA from 1 species
GGGUUGUGAGGUUAAGCGACUAAGCGUACACGGUGGAUGCCCUGGCAGUCAGAGGCGAUGAAGGACGUGCUAAUCUGCGAUAAGCGUCGGUAAGGUGAUAUGAACCGUUAUAACCGGCGAUUUCCGAAUGGGGAAACCCAGUGUGUUUCGACACACUAUCAUUAACUGAAUCCAUAGGUUAAUGAGGCGAACCGGGGGAACUGAAACAUCUAAGUACCCCGAGGAAAAGAAAUCAACCGAGAUUCCCCCAGUAGCGGCGAGCGAACGGGGAGCAGCCCAGAGCCUGAAUCAGUGUGUGUGUUAGUGGAAGCGUCUGGAAAGGCGCGCGAUACAGGGUGACAGCCCCGUACACAAAAAUGCACAUGCUGUGAGCUCGAUGAGUAGGGCGGGACACGUGGUAUCCUGUCUGAAUAUGGGGGGACCAUCCUCCAAGGCUAAAUACUCCUGACUGACCGAUAGUGAACCAGUACCGUGAGGGAAAGGCGAAAAGAACCCCGGCGAGGGGAGUGAAAAAGAACCUGAAACCGUGUACGUACAAGCAGUGGGAGCACAGAGCAAUCUNCCUGAAACCGUGUACGUACAAGCAGUGGGAGCACGCUUAGGCGUGUGACUGCGUACCUUUUGUAUAAUGGGUCAGCGACUUAUAUUCUGUAGCAAGGUUAACCGAAUAGGGGAGCCGAAGGGAAACCGAGUCUUAACUGGGCGUUAAGUUGCAGGGUAUAGACCCGAAACCCGGUGAUCUAGCCAUGGGCAGGUUGAAGGUUGGGUAACACUAACUGGAGGACCGAACCGACUAAUGUUGAAAAAUUAGCGGAUGACUUGUGGCUGGGGGUGAAAGGCCAAUCAAACCGGGAGAUAGCUGGUUCUCCCCGAAAGCUAUUUAGGUAGCGCCUCGUGAAUUCAUCUCCGGGGGUAGAGCACUGUUUCGGCAAGGGGGUCAUCCCGACUUACCAACCCGAUGCAAACUGCGAAUACCGGAGAAUGUUAUCACGGGAGACACACGGCGGGUGCUAACGUCCGUCGUGAAGAGGGAAACAACCCAGACCGCCAGCUAAGGUCCCAAAGUCAUGGUUAAGUGGGAAACGAUGUGGGAAGGCCCAGACAGCCAGGAUGUUGGCUUAGAAGCAGCCAUCAUUUAAAGAAAGCGUAAUAGCUCACUGGUCGAGUCGGCCUGCGCGGAAGAUGUAACGGGGCUAAACCAUGCACCGAAGCUGCGGCAGCGACGCUUAUGCGUUGUUGGGUAGGGGAGCGUUCUGUAAGCCUGUGAAGGUGUACUGUGAGGUAUGCUGGAGGUAUCAGAAGUGCGAAUGCUGA